UACGUAGGCAGCAAGCGUUGUUCGGAAUUACUGGGCGUAAAGAGUGUGUAGGCGGUGCUCUAAGUUCGGUGUGAAAUCUCCCGGCUUAACUGGGAGGGUGCGCCGGAAACUGGAGUGCUUGAGCGCGGGAGAGGAAAGCGGAAUUCCUGGUGUAGCGGUGAAAUGCGUAGAUAUCAGGAGGAACUCCGGCGGCGAAAGCGGUGCACUGGUGGAUUACUGACGCUGAGGUGCGAAAGCCAGGGGAGCAAACGGG
rnacentral:rRNA from 1 species